AAAAAGAUAAAUCCUAUGUUUUUGUGUCCAACGUUUAACUGUCCGUCUUAUAUGAAAUUUUUUUAUAAUUAGUAUUUUUAUUUUUAUUAGAUGAUAAAACAUGAUUAAUACUUUAUGCGUGACUUAUCUUUUUAAUUUUUUCAUAUUUUUUUUCAAAUAAGACAAAUGGUCAAACGUUGGACACGGAAACUCAGGGUUGUCUUUUUU
rfam:Oryza sativa (indica cultivar-group) chromosome 7, whole genome shotgun sequence.